rnacentral:rRNA from 1 species
UUUCGUGCCAGCCACCGCGGUCAUACGAUUAACCCGAGUUAACAGAAGAACGGCGUAAAGUGUGUUUAAGCAUUUAAAAUCCAAAAUAAAGUUAAAGAUCAAUUUAGCUGUAAUACGCCAAGGUUGAUAUUAAAAUACACAACUUACGUGACUUUACCUAUUGUUGAAGACACUAAAGCUAAGGUACAAACUGGGAUUAGAGACCCCACUAUGCUUAGCCGUAAACCGAGGUAGUUGAAUAACAAAACUAUUCGCCAGAGAACUACAAGCCACUGCUUAAAACUCAAAGGACUUGGCGGUGCCCUAGACCCUCCUAGAGGAGCCUGUUCUAUAAUCGAUAAACCCCGAUAUACCUCACCUUUCCUAGCUAUCAGUCUAUAUACCGCCAUCGUCAGC